UUUGGCGUUCUUGGUCCCAAUUAUCGAUUUUGGGGCCAAGGGUGAAGGUAGCGUUGGGGUUGAAGGGUUGCUGGUCGUCGGGAUCGUUGGGGUCGGCGUCGGAUCGGAUCUCAGCGAGGAUGCGGUUGGUCUCCUCGACAAGGUUCUGGUUGACGGCUUCGGCAUCGGAGGAACCAAGGUUGACGCCGAUGGUGCCGCGGAGGACGAGGAUGGUGACGAAGCCGCAGAGGAUAGUGAUCUUGAUGUUGUUGAAGGUCUUCUGGAUCUGGCGGCCGCGGGGAAGCGCGGUGGCCCGGCCUCGGGCGUUGGAGGUGGGUAAACCGGCGC
rnacentral:lncRNA from 1 species